UACGAAGGGGACUAGCGUUGUUCGGAAUCACUGGGCGUAAAGCGCACGUAGGCGGAUGUGUCAGUCAGGGGUGAAAUCCCGGGGCUCAACCUCGGAACUGCCUUUGAUACAGCACGUCUCGAGUCCGGAAGAGGUGGGUGGAAUUCCUAGUGUAGAGGUGAAAUUCGUAGAUAUUAGGAAGAACACCGGUGGCGAAGGCGGCCCACUGGCCCGAUACUGACGCUGAGGCACGAAAGCGUGGGGAGCAAACAGG
rnacentral:rRNA from 1 species